CUUUACCUUAUUAUAUACCUAUUAUUAAUAUACCGGUGUGUAUUAUAAGUAAUAUAAUAUACCUACUUACUUAUAUUACUUAUAAUAUACCUUAUUACUUCCUUAUAAUAUACUUUAUACCUUAUAAUAUUUAGAUAUUAUUCCGUCUAUAGUACAGUAUGGUUAAAUUGAUAUCGAAGUGCGAUGGAUCUCUCGUUCCUUUCGUCUUCCUACAUCUCCAUUCCGGUCCUGAGUAAAUCUUUAUAGGAACGCUGUCCGACGUUUUGACUUCGGUAGAUCCAACCUAUAAUAAUCACUUCUAUGGACGCGUGUAGGUAUCCACUCUGCAAUUCUACCGCGUGGUUUUUCCUCCAUUUCGGAAAUCGAUGGCCGUCUUCUCCGUGGGUAUGGAAAAUUUUUCCUGCCACGCAGUUUUGAAAUAGUCUAUAUCGAGUGGAUGAUGCGCGGUAUUAAGAGCGGGUACCACCGGUAAAACGGAGGUACCGACCGAUGGAUGGCGAAGAUCUAACCAGUUACACCGACCGUAAUUUAGUCUUUCUAACCGAGUUAACGGCGGUAAGUCGACCUACUGACCGACAUAGGCGGUUAUUUCUCGGCUGGUCGUUUGGUCAUCGGCCCCUUUUCACCGGUUAUUUAGACCCUACUUCGGGUCAGUCAAAGAUGACGGGCGAUAGGUGACGGAGCGGAGCCAAACCAACCACCCAUGCGGGGUCGGCCGUGUUUAUGGCUCUCAAAAUACUUCUCUACUUGUUAGAAAGAUAUCCGGACCUGUCUCCGUGGUCGUUAGAUGGAAAAUGUCUGGAGACGUUAAAUAUCUGCCAUUGCGCUUUAAAUAAUGGUAAAAUUUUCCACUUAAACCCGCUAUGUACCACCACUAAAAUGCUUGGUUUUCCGCUAUUUUAAUUACGCUAGUAAUUUCCAAUUUUUUCCAGCUACGUGGAAUGAAUAUUUUUCGGCAUUUUCCGACCACUGGAUAUCGUUUACCGCCGGUAGAGUGGAAAAAUAAAGCGUUAUGGUGGCCGGACAUUCGGUCCGAUCGACUCGUGUUUCUGGCCGGCUUUCGGUUGGUUAUUCACGUAUACCGUAGACAGUUCUGUCAUUUUUAUAGUCCACGUCUUUCUUUAAUACGAUUAACCACGCUCCCCUCGAGUCUAGUCAGACCCUUAAAGCUCAUCGGCCCGAUUUUCCAUUCACUUGUAUUUUGCCGACCAGAGACCAUCCAGCCACUCACCGAGUAUUAGUACUACGCCAUCUGGCGUCGAUUUUCUUAUCCGUCAGUCGACCGUCCACUUUUUUCCCGUUAGUAAAUGCGGUGAUGGAGUAAAGACCGAAAGACGGUGUUAGUGGACUUUUUGGCUCGGUACCGGUUCGCGGACCCGGGUCUAUUUAUACGGUAGCUUGAAAAGCCCCACGCCAACCCCAGGAAAUAAUGUAAAUGGAAAAGUUACGGCCUGGAGACCCAGCUAACCGUAAGUCGUAACCAUCCGAUCCACUCUAGUCUCGUCAGAUUUUCGUCUGUUACAAAAUAUAAUAAUAAAUUAAAACACCGAAACAAACCAAACUGAAAACUGAGACCUUUAAAAAGUGCCCGCACUGAGUAUAUAACCGAAAGACAUUCCGAGGGGAAGAAAAAAUAUCGUUGGAAACGUAAGUUAGACUAGAUUCGUUGGUGGAUCCGGACUGGUUCGGUGUCAAUGUAAAUGGCCCUAUUGAAAAAUAGGGCCGAAUUAGGGUCUAUCCGUCCAGUAGCGUCGAGUUGAUACUCGACGCCACUGGAUGGAUAAACCCUAAUUAGACCUGAUCUCGGACCUCCGGAAGUGUGUUUGCAGUUUGGGAAGUUUGCCGGUAGGUGGCCAGUUACUUUAAGCGCGGGUGAAAUGGCAGCGGUAAGUAGGAAAGAGCCGAAAGAUUUCGGACGAGAAUAGAGGGUGGCGAUUACCUACUCGAGCUGGG
rnacentral:lncRNA from 1 species